rnacentral:tRNA from 1 species
GGUUUCAUGGUACAACAGUCAUUACAUCUACUUGACAUGCAGAAAAUUCUGGGUUCAAUUCCCAGUGGAACCA